rnacentral:lncRNA from 1 species
GCUCCGUUUUCCCCUGGCUUCAGGGAAGGAAGCUCUGGUAGAAGGGAAGAGAGCAGCAUCGGCAGUGUGCUGGAGCCCCCUCGUAGUGGCUGGCAAGAACGGAUUGUGAAAAUCUCAUUCAUUUUUCAAAGGCCAGAGCAAGAGGAAAUGGAUUCAAGUUGAAGCCGGAUCUAUUUAGCCUUCUAGAGACCUGAUCCUCGUGGAUCCCUGAGUGAUAACUACAUGGAGCUCCACCUCUCCAAAUGAAAAUCGUUGGACUAUAACGUUCUUUAUGGUUCUCCAAAGCACUUACUACCAUCUGACACAUUUAGUGGCUUAUUGUCUAUCUAUCCCUCCCAGAGGACAGGAACUUUCUUCACUACUAUAUUCCAGCACUUAGAAAAAUUACCCAGAAUAUAGUUGGUACUCAAUAAUUAUUUGAUGAUUU